CACGAAGUUAGCCGGGGCUUCUUCUCCCGCUACCGUCAUUAUCGUCGCGGGCGAAAGAGCUUUACAACCCUAAGGCCGUCAUCACUCACGCGGCAUGGCUGGAUCAGGCUUGCGCCCAUUGUCCAAUAUUCCCCACUGUUGCCUCCCGUAGGAGUUUGGGCCGUGUCUCAGUCCCAAUGUGGCUGGCCAUCCUCUCAGACCAGCUAUCGAUCGUCGCCAUGGUGGGCCGUUACCCCGCCAUCAAGCUAAUCGAACGCGGGCCAAUCCUUCGGCGGUCAAGCCUUUCCCCAAGCCUCGCGGCCAGGGCGUAUCCGGUAUUAGCGUCCGUUUCCAAACGUUGUUCCGAACCGAAGGGUAUGUUCCCACGUGUUACUCACCCGUCUGCCACUCCCGAUUGCUCGGGCGUUCGACUUGCAUGUGUUAAGCCUGCCGCCAGCGUUCGUUCUGAGCCAGGAUCAAACUCU
rnacentral:rRNA from 1 species